rnacentral:tRNA from 1 species
GCCAGGAUGGUCUAAUCGGUUUAAGGCGUCGCCCCGGUAGGCGAAGGUUGCGGGUUCAAUCCCCGCUCCUGGCC